rnacentral:ncRNA from 1 species
CUCUUAUCAAGAGAGGGGUAGGGACCAGGCCCGUUGAACCCUCGGCAACCAUCUGACUUUCAUCAGAAAGGUGCCAAUUCCUGCAGAUUCGUUCUGACAGAUGAGAG